GAAGCACGCCAGACCGCCGCUGGUGCAAGUGCCGAAAGGCCGCACUGGAGGAACGUCCGGACUGCAAAGGACAGCGCAGGAGUUAACGACUCUCCACCGUGAGGUGAGGAUCAGAGCAACAGAGACGAGCCGAUUAAGUUCGGGUGAAACGGGCAAUCUCUGCGCGCAGCAACACCAAGUAGGCCAGUAUUGAGGUGGUUCCGCUGAGCUGGCGGGUAGGUGGCAUCGAGCCGUCUGGUGACAGGCGGCCCAGAGUAAUGGCGGUCACGCCGCAGGUUCCGCAAGGGGCCUGCGGUGCACAGAAUCCGGCUUAUCGGCGGGCUUCACAC
rnacentral:RNase_P_RNA from 1 species